rnacentral:rRNA from 1 species
UGGGGAAUAUUGGACAAUGGGCGAAAGCCUGAUCCAGCCAUGCCGCGUGUGUGAAGAAGGUCUUCGGAUUGUAAAGCACUUUAAGUUGGGAGGAAGGGCAGUAAGCGAAUACCUUGCUGUUUUGACGUUACCGACAGAAUAAGCACCGGCCAACUCUGUGCCAGCAGCCGCGGUAAUACAGAGGGUGCAAGCGUUAAGCGGAAUUACUGGGCGUAAAGCGCGCGUAGGUGGUUCGUUAAGUUGAAUGUGACAGCCCCGGGCUCAACCUCGGAACUGCAUCCAAAACUGGCGUGCUAGAGUAGGGCAGAGGGUGGUGGAAUUUCCUUUGUAGCGGUGAAGUGCGUAGCUAUAAGAAGGAGCACCAGUGGCGGAGGCGACCACCUGGGCUCAUACUGACACUGAGGUGCGAAAGCAUGGGGAGCAAACAGG